rnacentral:rRNA from 1 species
ACCCUUUAAUGUUUGAUGUUCUAACGUGGACCCGUAAUCCGGGUUGCGGACAGUGUCUGGUGGGUAGUUUGACUGGGGCGGUCUCCUCCUAAAGAGUAACGGAGGAGCACGAAGGUUGGCUAAUCCUGGUCGGACAUCAGGAGGUUAGUGCAAUGGCAUAAGCCAGCUUGACUGCGAGCGUGACGGCGCGAGCAGGUGCGAAAGCAGGUCAUAGUGAUCCGGUGGUUCUGAAUGGAAGGGCCAUCGCUCAACGGAUAAAAGGUACUCCGGGGAUAACAGGCUGAUACCGCCCAAGAGUUCAUAUCGACGGCGGUGUUUGGCACCUCGAUGUCGGCUCAUCACAUCCUGGGGCUGAAGUAGGUCCCAAGGGUAUGGCUGUUCGCCAUUUAAAGUGGUACGCGAGCUGGGUUUAGAACGUCGUGAGACAGUUCGGUCCCUAUCUGCCGUGGGCGCUGGAGAACUGAGGGGGGCUGCUCCUAGUACGAGAGGACCGGAGUGGACGCAUCACUGGUGUUCGGGUUGUCAUGCCAAUGGCACUGCCCGGUAGCUAAAUGCGGAAGAGAUAAGUGCUGAAAGCAUCUAAGCACGAAACUUGCCCCGAGAUGAGUUCUCCCUG